AACUUUCUAAUUAUUAUUAAAGAUGUCCAGGUGUGUCGGUUGUAGCGGAAGUCAUGAAAAAUAUUUUAUGCGUAAAGAAAAAAUGCAAAUCAUCAGAUCAGUAAAAAGAAAUAUCAACAGUUAAAAGUAAAUCUUAACUAACUCUGGCCACAUUGGACGAGAGAACGGAUGACAGCAAUAAAACACAGAGAGAGAUACACACACGCACGCACAUACACUUAUGUACCAUAUGUAUGUAUAUGUACAGAAAGCAGCCGAAAUAGGCACAAAUAAUUAUGAAAGGCAGGUAAAAAUGGUGAAAACAGAAUGUCGGACGGAAGGGCAAGCAGAAAGCAAAGUGCCGGUUCACCACAUUUGCGCGCCAUUUGUUGUAUAUUGCCAGACGGUUUUUGGGGUAACCGGAACAACGACUGCACAUAUGUAUGCUCUACUUAAAUUUAAAGAAUUGUUUUAUUCCCAUACAUUUAAAGAUUAUAUGCAAGAUAUAAUUUAAAGACAACAAAUUAUGCGUAAAUUAUUACGGCGCUUGCGGGACUGUAGCUACAUGCGUACGUUUGCAAAGAAAACCAUGUGGCAACGCCAUGUGCUAUGUGAAAGCGAAUGUAAAAUGAAAAGAAAUAUGCGAAAAGCAAUGCCCUCCAAAUGUACAUAUGAACAAAUAUACGUGAAUCAACACAAAUCACAAAUUUUAGAACUAACACGUUUAGAAGUUUUACAAUUUAUACUAUUUGUUGCGCGUCAGUUAUGGAUAAUUGCAAGAACUCAAAACAAACACAGUGAAUUGCAUGAAAUGCGAGAAAUUCACCACGAGCAGAAGCAGCGACGGUGGCGGCGCGACGGCAGCAAAAUAAAAAACAAAAUGGAAGACUCGUCGAUGACGACAAAAAUGCUUCAACAAAGAAAUCUGAAGAACUCAAUUUGUAAAACGCAAACACGAGUAAUAUGAAUUGAAGAGAAACUUUGCCACAUAAA